rnacentral:rRNA from 1 species
UACGAAGGGGGCUAGCGUUGUUCGGAAUCACUGGGCGUAAAGCGCACGUAGGCGGAUUGUUAAGUCGGGGGUGAAAUCCUGAGGCUCAACCUCAGAACUGCCUUCGAUACUGGCAAUCUCGAGUCCGGAAGAGGUUGGUGGAACAGCUAGUGUAGAGGUGAAAUUCGUAGAUAUUAGCUAGAACACCAGUGGCGAAGGCGGCCAACUGGUCCGGUACUGACGGCUGAGGUGCGAAAGCGUGGGGAGCAACAGG